GAUGAACGCUGACAGAAUGCUUAACACAUGCAAGUCAACUUUGGCGGACGGGUGAGUAACGCGUACAGAACUUUCCUCACAGAUAGGGACAGCGUUUGGAACCGAAUGCUAAUACCUGAUACUGUGAGAGAGCUUUGCGUCCCAUUAGCGAGUUGGAGAGGUAACGGCUCACCAAGGCGAUGAUGGGUAGCCGGCCUGAGAGGGUGAUCGGCCACAAGGGGACUGAGAAACGGCCCUUACUCAGACGGGAGGCAGCAGUGGGGAAUAUUGGACAAUGGACCAAAGUCUGAUCAAGCAAUUCUGUGUGCAAGAUGCAGUUUUCGGAAUGUAAAGUGCUUUCAGUUGGGAAGCGGUACCCACAGACGAAGUGACGGCUAAAUACGUGCCAGCAGCCGCGGUAAUAC
rnacentral:rRNA from 1 species